AUGUGGAGCGCUUAGAAGUGAGAAUGCCGGUGUGAGUAGCGAAAGACGGGUGAGAAUCCCGUCCACCGAUUGACUAAGGUUUCCAGAGGAAGGCUCGUCCGCUCUGGGUUAGUCGGGUCCUAAGCUGAGGCCGACAGGCGUAGGCGAUGGAUAACAGGUUGAUAUUCCUGUACCACCAUUAUUCGUUUUAAGCGAUGGGGGGACGCAGUAGGAUAGGCGAAGCGUGCUGUUGGAGUGCACGUCCAAGCAGUGAGAUUGAGUGUUAGGCAAAUCCGGCACUCUUAAGAUUGAGCUGUGAUGGGGAGAGGAACUUGUUCCUCGAGUCGUUGAUUUCACACUGCCGAGAAAAGCCUCUAGCUAGAAUAACGGUGCCCGUACCGCAAACCGACACAGGUAGUCAAGAUGAGAAUUCUAAGGUGAGCGAGCGAACUCUCGUUAAGGAACUCGGCAAAAUGACCCCGUAACUUCGGGAGAAGGGGUGCUCUUUGAGGUUCACGCUUCGAAGAGCCGCAGUGAAUAGGCCCAAGCGACUGUUUAUCAAAAACACAGGUCUCUGCUAAACCGUAAGGUGACGUAUAGGGGCUGACGCCUGCCCGGUGCUGGAAGGUUAAGAGGAGUGGUUAGCGCAAGCGAAGCUACGAAUCGAAGCCCCAGUAAACGGCGGCCGUAACUAUAACGGUCCUAAGGUAGCGAAAUUCCUUGUCGGGUAAGUUCCGACCCGCACGAAAGGCGUAACGAUUUGGGCACUGUCUCAACGAGAGACUCGGUGAAAUCAUAGUACCGGUGAAGAUGCCGGUUACCCGCGACAGGACGGAAAGACCCCGUGGAGCUUUACUGUAGCCUGAUAUUGAAAUUCGGUACAGUUUGUACAGGAUAGGUAGGAGCCUUAGAAGCGUGAGCGCUAGCUUACGUGGAGGCAUUGGUGGGAUACUACCCUAAUUGUAUUGGAUUUCUAACCCGCAGCACUUAUCGUGCUGGGAGACAGUGUCAGGCGGGCAGUUUGACUGGGGCGGUCGCCUCCUAAAGAGUAACGGAGGCGCUCAAAGGUUCCCUCAGAAUGGUUGGAAAUCAUUCAUAGAGUGUAAAGGCAUAAGGGAGCUUGACUGCGAGACCUACAAGUCGAGCAGGGUCGAAAGACGGACUUAGUGAUCCGGUGGUUCCGCAUGGAAGGGCCAUCGCUCAACGGAUAAAAGCUACCCCGGGGAUAACAGGCUUAUCUCCCCCAAGAGUUCACAUCGACGGGGAGGUUUGGCACCUCGAUGUCGGCUCAUCGCAUCCUGGGGCUGUAGUCGGUCCCAAGGGUUGGGCUGUUCGCCCAUUAAAGCGGUACGCGAGCUGGGUUCAGAACGUCGUGAGACAGUUCGGUCCCUAUCCGUCGUGGGCGUAGGAAAUUUGAGAGGAGCUGUCCUUAGUACGAGAGGACCGGGAUGGACAUACCUCUGGUGUACCAGUUGUCGUGCCAACGGCAUAGCUGGGUAGCUAUGUAUGGACGGGAUAAGUGCUGAAAGCAUCUAAGCAUGAAGCCCCCCUCGAGAUGAGAUUUCCCAACUUCGGUUAUAAGAUCCCUCAAAGAUGAUGAGGUGAAUAGGUUCGAGGUGGAAGCGUAGCGAUACGUGGAGCUGACGAAUACUAAUCGAUCGAAGACUUAAUCAAUAU
rnacentral:rRNA from 1 species